AUGAACGCUAGCGGCAGGCUUAACACAUGCAAGUCGAGGGGUAGAAGCAGCUUGCUGCUUUGAGACCGGCGCACGGGUGCGUAACGCGUAUGCAAUCUACCUUUUACAGAGGGAUAGCCCAGAGAAAUUUGGAUUAAUACCUCAUAGUAUGUGAGAAUCGCAUGGUUUUCAACAUUAAAGUUCCAACGGUAAAAGAUGAGCAUGCGUCCCAUUAGCUAGAUGGUAAGGUAACGGCUUACCAUGGCGACGAUGGGUAGGGGUCCUGAGAGGGAGAUCCCCCACACUGGUACUGAGACACGGACCAGACUCCUACGGGAGGCAGCAGUGAGGAAUAUUGGACAAUGGGCGCAAGCCUGAUCCAGCCAUGCCGCGUGCAGGAUGACGGUCCUAUGGAUUGUAAACUGCUUUUGUACAGGAAGAAACACUCCCUCGUGAGGGAGCUUGACGGUACUGUAAGAAUAAGGAUCGGCUAACUCCGUG
rnacentral:rRNA from 1 species